UACGUAGGGUGCGAGCGUUAAUCGGAAUUACUGGGCGUAAAGCGUGCGCAGGCGGUUUUGUAAGCCAGAUGUGAAAUCCCCGGGCUCAACCUGGGAACUGCCUUUGUGACUGCAUGACUAGAGUACGGUAGAGGGGGAUGGAAUUCCGCGUGUAGCAGUGAAAUGCGUAGAUAUGCGGAGGAACACCGAUGGCGAAGGCAAUCCCCUGGACCUGUACUGACGCUCAUGCACGAAAGCGUGGGGAGCAAACAGG
rnacentral:rRNA from 1 species